rnacentral:rRNA from 1 species
UACGUAGGCAGCGAGCGUUGUUCGGAGUUACUGGGCGUAAAGGGGGUGUAGGCGGUUGGUUAAGUUUGGGGUGAAAUCUCCCGGCUCAACUGGGAGGGUGCGCCGAAUACUGAAUGACUUCGAGUGCGGGAGAGGAAAGUGGAAUUCCUGGUGUAGCGGUGAAAUGCGUAGAUAUCAGGAGGAACACCGGUGGUGUAGACGGCUUUCUGGACCGUAACUGACGCUGAGACACGAAAGCGUGGGUAGCAAACCGG